rnacentral:lncRNA from 1 species
AUGCUGUUUCCCUCCAUUCCUUCCUUCCUUCCUUCCUUCCUUCCUUCCUUCCUUCACUUCCUUCCUUCACUUCCUUCCUUCCGUCCUUCCCUCCCUUCCUUCCCUCCUUCCCUCCUUUCUUCCCUCCUUCCUUCCUUUCAUCCCUCAUUCCUUCCUUCCUUCCUUCCUUCCUUCCUUCCUUCCUUCCUUCCUUCCUUCCUUCCUUCCUUCCUUCCUUCCUUCCCUUCCUUCCCUUCCUUCCUUCACUUCCUUCCUUCCGUCCUUCCCUCCCUUCCUUCCCUCCUUUCCUCCUUUCUUCCCUCCUUCCCUCCUUUCUUCCCUCCUUCCUUCCUUCCCUCUUUCCUUCCUUCCUUCCUUGCGUCCUUCCUUCCUUCCUUCCUUGCGUCCUUCCUUCCUCCCUUUCUUAGUUCCUUCGUUCCUUUGUUCCUUCACUUCCUUCCUUCACUACCUUCCUUCCGUCCUUCCCUCCCUUCCUUCCCUCCUUCCCUCCUUUCUUCCCUCCUUCCUUCCUUUCUUCCCUCAUUCCUUCCUUCCUUCCUUCCUUCCUUCCUUCCUUCCUUCCUUCCCUUCCUUCCUUCCUUCCUUCCUUCCCUUCCUUCCUUCACUUCCUUCCUUCCAUCCUUCCCUCCCUUCCUUCCCUCCUUCCCUCCUUUCUUCCCUCCUUCCCUCCUUUCUUCCCUCCUUCCUUCCUUCCCUCUUUCCUUCCUUCCUUCCUUGCGUCCUUCCUUCCUCCCUUUCUUUGUUCCUUCGUUCCUUUGUUCCUUCACUUCCUUCCUUCACUUCCUUCCUUCCAUCCUUCCCUCCCUUCCUUCCCUCCUUCCCUCCUUUCUUCCCUCCUUCCUUCCUUUCUUCCCUCCUUCCUUCCUUCCUUGCGUCCUUCCUUCCUUGCGUCCUUCCAUCCUUCCUUCCAUCCUUUCCUUCCUUCCUUCCCUUCUUUUCCUACCUUUCCUUCCUUCCAGUAAAAAUCCAAUGCCAUAUUUUGUGGGUUUCUUUUCCACUUUGGACAAAACCAUUUAUCCUCUUCUCCCUGUUCACCAGUCCCACCUUACUUAUAUCAUUUGUUUUUCAUUAAACAUUUUGCUUUGUAACUAA